rnacentral:misc_RNA from 1 species
UUCUGUUUCCUGACAGAGUUCAGGCCAUAA